AUGGGGAGCUUCUUUAAGAAACACCUGACAGAAGACCCAGGUGGCCAGUGUGUUCCCAUUGGACUAGGAAGUGUACUUCCAGGAAGUGUUCCUAUUUCACCAGGAACUGUAGUAGGGCGUGGAGCAGGAUAUGUACUAUUAGGAAGGACACUUUCAAAAUGGCGUAUGGUAAAACCAGGAAGUGGAUCAACAGUUGGGACAGGGAGGGGACGUGGUCGGCCCCCUAAACACUUCACCAAACGGAGGAGACGAGUAUGGAGCCAGGUCUCCUCGAGUGAUACGACAGAGACGGACGAGACUGAGGAGGAAGAGGAACCAGUCUACACCGUUACCACCCAGUCGUUGGAGCACAGCCCUGGGGGAGGGGGAGAAGAUGGAGAAGGAUGGGCGGAACUACAGGAGUACGACGACGACGUGCCUGAACAAAUACCUCAGAUGUCUCCAUCCUAUAUGCCUGUAAACCCCAGUAGUGGUGUAUCUGGGUCAGAGGAACCCUACCCCAGCAGCUGUGUUCAGCCCUACCCGCAGAGCUGUUACCAGGGCGACCAUGGCAACCUCCAGUUCAUCAGGAUGAACGGCAACCAAAUUACCAUCACCCCUGGCCCCAGCCUCGCUUCUCAGGUAGUGAGUCACACACACAUCAUCAUCACCGUAUUCACAAAUUCGAUAGCUGGUGCUGAAUGGGACUUUUUACUGGGAAUCUAUUGCAUUGUCACAGCUUGGUGCGUAAAACCAAGCUAGUCCAUCAUUUUUUAGUAAAACCAAGCUAGUCCAUCUAUUUUAGUAAAACCAAGCUAGUCCAUCAAUUUUUAGUAAAACCAAGCUAGUCCAUCAAUUUUUAGUAAAACCAAGCUAGUCCAUCAAUUUUUAGUAAAACCAAGCUAGUCCAUCUAUUUUAGUAAAACCAAGCUAGUCCAUCUAUUUUAGUAAAACCAAGCUAGUCCAUUGAUUUAGUAAAACCAGCUCAUCAAUGUUUUUAUUUUAUUUUUCUCCCAAGGCCUCCGCAGUCCUGGAGCCUGCAGUUGAACCCCCGUCAGUUAACUA
rnacentral:lncRNA from 13 species